CGAACCUGGAUUAGCCCUUAAGCACUCGGUGAAGUAGGUGAACAAGCUGGAAAGCUUGGCGAUACAGGGUGAUAGCCCCGUAACCGACGCUUCAUCGAGCGUGAAAUCGAGUAGGGCGGGACACGUGAUAUCCUGUCUGAAUAUGGGGGGACCAUCCUCCAAGGCUAAAUACUCCUGACUGACCGAUAGUGAACCAGUACCGUGAGGGAAAGGCGAAAAGAACCCCUGUGAGGGGAGUGAAAUAGAACCUGAAACCGUGUACGUACAAGCAGUAGGAGCACCUUCGUGGUGUGACUGCGUACCUUUUGUAUAAUGGGUCAGCGACUUAUAUUCAGUGGCAAGGUUAACCGUAUAGGGGAGCCGUAGCGAAAGCGAGUCUUAACUGGGCGCUCAGUCUCUGGAUAUAGACCCGAAACCGGGUGAUCUAGCCAUGGGCAGGUUGAAGGUUGAGUAACAUCAACUGGAGGACCGAACCGACUAAUGUUGAAAAAUUAGCGGAUGACUUGUGGCUAGGGGUGAAAGGCCAAUCAAACUCGGAGAUAGCUGGUUCUCCCCGAAAGCUAUUUAGGUAGCGCCUCGGACGAAUACUACUGGGGGUAGAGCACUGUUAAGGCUAGGGGGUCAUCCCGACUUACCAACCCUUUGCAAACUCCGAAUACCAGUAAGUACUAUCCGGGAGACACACGGCGGGUGCUAACGUCCGUCGUGGAGAGGGAAACAACCCAGACCGCCAGCUAAGGUCCCAAAGUAUUGCUAAGUGGGAAACGAUGUGGGAAGGCUCAGACAGCUAGGAUGUUGGCUUAGAAGCAGCCAUCAUUUAAAGAAAGCGUAAUAGCUCACUAGUCGAGUCGGCCUGCGCGGAAGAUGUAACGGGGCUAAGCA
rnacentral:rRNA from 1 species